UGCAGAGGCCUGGGGCACACCUGGGCCUCGAGACCUGCCGAGUCUCCUGAGGCCUCUCCUUCCUGCUUCUCCCUCCCGCCCCAGCUGACCCAUAAGGCACUUCAGGAGAGUCCUCCAGCUUCUGCCAGAACCCGCAUCCUGAGCCUGGAGUGCGGCAGGCAGCCCCUCCCAUGACCCCAUCGCACAGCUGAGGAAACUGAGGCUGGAGAGAGGGGACUUGCUGGGGGCCAUAUGUGCAGAGCGUGCACAAGCCAAAGUCCCGGCCCGUGUCUAGCGUCCCUUCCUCUGCUCCCGAGUCCAGCUCCUCCUGGAAGCAGAGCCCCGUGGGGACCUGCAGGGCCUUUGGCUUUGUGUCUGUCCCGUCUCCAGACAGGUGUCUGGCUGGCGCUCAGCCUGCGGAGGGAUGGCAGCAGCCCCCGCCGUGGGGCUGGAAGGAGCUCGGGGAGGAGCUGGGGUGGCCACCAGGAGGCCGCGGUCCCACACUCAGGCGGUUGGAGGCCAGAGCGGCAGACUGCCUGGGUCAUCAAGCUGGGCUGCUGUGGACGUCACUGAGCAGUAAAUAUGGAGCCGCCCCCACAGUGCCAGCUCUCCCAGGGUGACUUCUCCACCAUCUCACUUUCCCCAAGGGAAGGAGUGAGAGCCUGGAGGAUUGGCCGCCUGCUGCCCAGGGAGGGAGCGGCCAGGACGGAGGGGCCAGGACGCAGGGGCGGAGGAGCAGCCCACCAGACCCCUGGCCCCGGCAGGGAGAGACCCUUUCAUGGGGCCAGGACCUGGGACCCCGCAGGCUGGACUCCGCAUUGUCACCACCCAAGGUACAGAGGGAGGGCUGCAGGGGGCGUGGGCCCUCCUGACCUACGCUGCCCCUCACUGCUCCGACCAACCCAGCAGGUGGCGUUGAGCGUGUGCGCAUGUGCACGUGUGUGUAAGUGUGUGCGCGUGUGCGUGUACUCCCGUGUGUGCGCGUGUGCGUGUACUCCCGUGUGUGUGCGUGUGCGUGUACUCCCGUGCACAAGCAAGGUGCCCCUCAGGCCAGCUGGUUGCAGAGGGAAGGGCAGCCAUCAGGGCUGGCAUUUGCGGAGGCUCAAGGUGUCCCAGGGAGGGGACAGGGAAAGGAAGGAGAAGCCCCAUACUCUGCGCGAGGAGGCCAAGUCCUCAGAGGAAGCCAGCCCGCCUGGCCCAGCCCAGAUCCACCCAAGACAAGAGUGGGGUCUUGGGGAGAAGGCGUGAGGAAGGGGGCCCAGGAGGAGUCCCCACACGGGCUCCCCGGCCUCUAAGAGACGUUGGUGACACCCCGGCGUCAAGGAGGCUCACAGGUGCCAUGACCCUGCCAGACCGCGUCUGGUAACCUUUCUACAGAGGCGAAAUCGAGGCCCAGAGAAGUGAAGUGACUUUCCCAAGGUUGCACAGCCCUGGAGGACCGAGCCAGGUUGCUGCCUCUUACCGCCAACAGUGAGCGGCACCACGCGGCACCCGUGCUGCUGGAGUGUGGACUGGAGAAGUUGCAGCACCCCGACUUCUGCCCCUGGGGUGCUGGGCCAUACAGAGGAAGUGCAGGAUGUGGGCCCGCGUGCCUCCAGCCGGUGCCCCUGUGUCUCUAGGUGUGCACGCCUGAGAAUGGGCGCCCAGCACAGGCUGUGCUCCAGGCUGGUAGGGACCUUCCUGCCCAGUGUUGGGGUGAAGGUGUUAGUGGAGCGUCUCCGGGAC
rnacentral:lncRNA from 1 species